ensembl:lncRNA novel transcript
AGUUCUGAAAAGCUACCAGACUCAGUGAGAGGCAAGGACUUUUCAUCUUUAGGGCAUUCUGACCACGUCCUGCUUCAGAGAGAUUGUUCCCGGCGUCUCAGUGCUAUGGGGAGCAGGUUCCUCCUGGUCCUGCUCUCAGGUCUCACUGUCUUACUGGCUCUGCCAGGAUCAGAAGCCAAGAAUUCUGGAGCUUCCUGUCCUCCAUGCCCUAAAUAUGCCAGCUGCCACAACAGCACCCACUGUACUUGUGAAGAUGGCUUUCGGGCCAGGUCUGGCAGGACAUACUUUCAUGAUUCCUCUGAGAAGUGUGAAGAUAUUAAUGAAUGUGAAACCGGGCUGGCAAAGUGCAAGUAUAAAGCAUAUUGUAGGAAUAAAGUUGGAGGUUACAUCUGUAGCUGUUUGGUAAAAUAUACUUUAUUCAACUUUCUGGCUGGUAUUAUAGAUUAUGAUCAUCCGGAUUGUUACGAGAACAAUAGUCAAGGGACGACACAGUCAAACGUGGAUAUUUGGGUGAGUGGGGUGAAGCCUGGAUUUGGGAAACAGCUGGUACGUAUAACUAUGCCAUUUUCCUACCCAAACAUUAACAUGUCUUCCUGUGAUUUUUAGGGUAGGGUAGUUCUAUCCAGGGGUAAUUUUGUCCUCUGUCCCAAGGUCAUCUGUCAAUGUCUGGGGACACUUUUGGUUGUCAUACCUUGGGGGUGAUGUGUGUGACUGGCAUCUGGUGGAUGGAGACCAGGGAUACAGCUCAACAUCCUACAGUGCCCAGGACAGCCUCCCACAAUCAAGAAGUGCCUAGUGCCACAUGUCCAUAGAGAUAGAGAAAUACAAGCGUAGGGGGAAAGUGCCUCAGCUGGCAUUCAAAGACCUACAUCAAGCACCUAGAUUCUCAAUGCCACACGCACCUUGUAGCACCUUAAUAAAUAUCGUUGCCUUCUGGGCUCCCCACUCCAACACUUGUGCAUAUUCCCUAUUUCUUACAUUUCAGUAAGAGUCAAUCUAAUUAGCUUAAUUUUUUUGGAAGGAAAAUCUGAGAAGAAAUGGAAGCAGAGAGGACUUUGCAAGAAGGGCUACUCAACUAAUUCAAAGCGUGGAGUUGAGCAUCUGGAAUGCGAGUUUUGCUUCUCCAGGAAAGGGUCAAAUUUCUGAAUUUGAUAUAGUCUAUGAAACCAAGAGGUGCAAUGAGACAAGGGAGAAUGCUUUUCUGGAAGCUGGAAAUAACACCAUGGAUAUCAACUGUGCUGAUGCUUUAAAAGGAAACCUAAGAGAGAGCACUGCAGUUGCCCUAUCACUUAUCAAUCUCUUGGGGAUAUUCUGAAUGCAUCCUUUUUUAGUAAACGAAAAGGGAUGCAGGAAGUAAAACUGAACUCUUACGUUGUGAGCGGCACCGUCGGUUUGAAGGAAAAAAUUUCCCUCUCUGAACCUGUGUUCCUGACUUUUCGCCAUAAUCAGCCUGGUGACAAGAGAACAAAACAUAUCUGUGUCUACUGGGAGGGAUCAGAGGGAGGCCGCUGGUCCACGGAGGGCUGCUCUCAUGUGCACAGCAACGGUUCUUACACCAAAUGCAAGUGCUUCCAUCUGUCCAGCUUUGCCGUCCUCGUGGCUCUUGCCCCCAAGGAGGACCCUGUGCUGACCGUGAUCACCCAGGUGGGGCUGACCAUCUCUCUGCUGUGCCUCUUCCUGGCCAUCCUCACCUUCCUCCUGUGCCGGCCCAUCCAGAACACCAGCACCUCCCUCCAUCUAGAGCUCUCCCUCUGCCUCUUCCUGGCCCACCUCCUGUUCCUGACGGGCAUCAACAGAACUGAGCCUGAGGUGCUGUGCUCCAUCAUUGCAGGGCUGCUGCACUUCCUCUACCUGGCUUGCUUCACCUGGAUGCUCCUGGAAGGGCUGCACCUCUUCCUCACCGUCAGGAACCUCAAGGUGGCCAACUACACCAGCACGGGCAGAUUCAAGAAGAGGUUCAUGUACCCUGUAGGCUACGGGAUCCCAGCUGUGAUUAUUGCUGUGUCAGCAAUAGUUGGACCCCAGAAUUAUGGAACAUUUACUCACUGUUGGCUCAAGCUUGAUAAAGGAUUCAUCUGGAGCUUCAUGGGGCCAGUAGCAGUCAUUAUCUUGAUAAACCUGGUGUUCUACUUCCAAGUUCUGUGGAUUUUGAGAAGCAAACUUUCCUCCCUCAAUAAAGAAGUUUCCACCAUUCAGGACACCAGAGUCAUGACAUUUAAAGCCAUUUCUCAGCUAUUUAUCCUGGGCUGUUCUUGGGGCCUUGGUUUUUUUAUGGUUGAAGAAGUAGGGAAGACGAUUGGAUCAAUCAUUGCAUACUCAUUCACCAUCAUCAACACCCUUCAGGGAGUGUUGCUCUUUGUGGUACACUGUCUCCUUAAUCGCCAGGUUCGAAUGGAAUAUAAAAAGUGGUUUAGUGGGAUGCGGAAAGGGGUAGAAACUGAAAGCACUGAGAUGUCUCGCUCUACUACCCAAACCAAAACGGAAGAAGUGGGGAAGUCCUCAGAAAUCUUUCAUAAAGGAGGCACUGCAUCAUCAUCUGCAGAGUCAACCAAGCAACCGCAGCCACAGGUUCAUCUCGUCUCUGCUGCUUGGCUAAAGAUGAACUGACCUGGCAAGUGCCAUGGCAAUGACCCGGAAGUUACCGCUCCUUUCCGUUUGUCUACAGCGCCCCUGUGGUCACACAUAGAUUGGACAAAUGCCACUAUUUCUAGCUUUCCUGUGAAAAGUCUAGGCU